rnacentral:rRNA from 1 species
AGUGAACGUUGGCGGCGUGGAUUAGGCAUGCAAGUCGAGCGAGAACCGUAGCAAUACGGGGACAGCGGCGAAAGGGACAGUAAUGUGUAGGUACCUACCUCCGGGUUCGGGAUAGCUGCGGGAAACUGCAGGUAAUACCGAAUAACGUCUCCGGACCAAAGGUGUGAUUCCACCUGGAGAGGGGCCUGCAUCCUAUUAGCUUGUUGGCGGGGUAACGGCCCACCAAGGCGACGAUGGGUAGCGGGUGUGAGAGCACGACCCGCGUCAUUGGGACUGAGACACUGCCCAGACACCUACGGGUGGCUGCAGUCGUGAAUCUUCGGCAAUGGGCGCAAGCCUGACCGAGCGACGCCGCGUGCGGGAUGAAGGCCUUCGGGUUGUAAACCGCUGUCGUAGAGGAGGAAAUGCAGGGGGGUUCUCCCCUCUGUUUGACCUAUUCUAGGAGGAAGUACGGGCUAAGUUCGUGCCAGCCGCCGCCGUAA